rnacentral:lncRNA from 1 species
GGAGCCUGGGGAUGGUGGUAUAGGGCAGACAUCUGGUGCUGCUGGACACAGUGGAGGUAGCAGUUGCUGAACACCACUCCCAGGCCCAGCGGGAAGCUCUGGCCCCUCAGCUGGUGCUGGCCCCUGUGGGGCAGGGCACCCCAUACAGCCCGGGGACCCCUGCGCUCACAGAGGUGAGAGUGUGUCCCAGACCCAGCAGGGUGGGCCUUAGCAAGGGGGACACUUUGCUCCAUGGACCCAUCUUUCCUCCCUGCUCCCUCUAUGGCAGUUCUCUGGACUUCAAAGAGAGCUCCCCCCAGCGGUGCACCUGCUGACCCUGGCCCGCUGGGGCCCCAACACAGUCCUGCUGCGCCUGGAGCACAUUUUUGGGCGUGGGGAGGGCAGCAUGUUCAACCUGUCCCAGCCAGUGACCCUGAACCUACAGGAUCUGUUCUCCGCCUUCACCAUCAGCCACCUGGAGGAGACCCUCUUGGGGCCGGGGCUGAGGUGUGACGCUCCUUUCAUCUCCUGUCUCUCUGGUCUCGCUCUAACAGGCCCUGCUCCUGUGCAGCCGGCCCCUCCCUGGACCCCUCUGCUGUCACUCUCCAGCCCAUGGAAAUCCGCACCUUCCUGGCCUCUGUCACCUGGAGCAAGGAAAGGGACAGAUGAGGUUCUGAGCCCUGAGCUGCCCUUCGCAGACCAUGCUUUCUCUCCCCAGGCUGGACCAGAAGGAGCUCUCCUGUCACUUUCUUAGGGCUUC